CCGUGCUAGAUGGGGAGGUAGCGGUGCCCUGCACCCGCAAACCGCUGUAGCGGGGUUGAAUUCCCACCCCAGGGCUUGGUUUGUGGGGACCGGCCGGUAUAAGUAGCGAGGAAAGUUGGGUCCUGCGCAACAGGAACUCAUGAACCCCGUCAGGUCCGGAAGGAAGCAGCGGUAAGUGAAUCCUCUUGUGUGCCGCGGGGGCGCCUGAUUAGAGCCGGCUGUACCGGUAUCGCCCGGAAGUCAUUGUUCAAAGGUGGGUGCACGG
rnacentral:SRP_RNA from 1 species